CCGUGGUUCCAGUUACAAGUGAGGCCUUUUUGAGAACAUCUGGUGAUGGCGUAAUGAACAACACCUGUUAUAGAUCGGGACGUACGAAUAAAAGUGCUUCUGAGACGUGGGUCGAGGCACGUGGGAAGUGACAUCAUCCCAUGCUGCCACUUGAUCGCGCGUUGUUUGUGGAUCUGUCGUCAGUAGUUAAAUUGAUGUGUUAAUUUUAAAUGUAAACCCCUAGAAUUAUGUAAUAAAAAAUAUUCUUCAUUAUA